UACAGAGGUGGCAAGCGUUGUUCGGAAUUACUGGGCGUAAAGGGCUCGUAGGCGGCCAACUAAAUCCGACGUGAAAUCCCAAGGCUUAACCUUGGAACUGCGUCGGAUACUGGAUGGCUUGAAUUCGGGAGAGGGAUGCAGAAUUCCAGGUGUAGCGGUGAAAUGCGUAGAUAUCUGGAGGAAUACCGGUGGCGAAGGCGGCAUCCUGGACCGACAUUGACGCUGAGGAGCGAAAGCUAGGGGAGCAAACGGG
rnacentral:rRNA from 1 species